rnacentral:tRNA from 1 species
GCCGAAGUGGCGGAAUUGGCAGACGCGCUAGGUUGAGGGCCUAGUGGGGAUUAAACCCCGUGCAGGUUCAAGUCCUGUCUUCGGCA